GGCUCUGUGGCGCAAUGGAUAGCGCGUUGGACUUCUAGGCAAACUCAUGUGCAGCGAUUCAAAGGUUGUGGGUUCGAGUCCCACCAGAGUCG
rnacentral:tRNA from 1 species